rnacentral:rRNA from 1 species
GAUGAACGCUGGCGGCGUGCUUAACACAUGCAAGUCGAACGGUGAAGCGCCGACCUUGUUGCUGGGAGUGGAGGAGUGGCCAAGGGAUGAGUAAGACGAGAGUAACCUUCUAACUCCUGCUGAAUAACCGCAAGAAGGAGUGGCUACUACAGGAUAUUCUGGACCUGUUGGAUGAUGGGUGUAGGACGGAUUUUGUGUCAGUGGGGGAUGGGUCCGCGCCGCAUUAGCUUGUUGGUGAGGUAAUGGCUUACCAAGGCGGCGAUGCGUAGCCGACCUGAGAGGGGGGUCGGCCGCAACAGAGGUGAGACGCGGUCCAGACGCCUACGAGAGGCAGCAGUAGGGAAGAUUACGCAAUAGGCGGCGGCAUGACGGAGCAACGACGCGUGGGGGGUGAAGGUCUUCGGAUCGUAGUAAUCUGCUUUUGGGAAAGAAGCAGUGUGGCAUUAACUGUGGGUGUGUUGACGGUAGCUGGAUAAGAAGCGACGGCUAACUACGUG